CUGGUGAUGUGCGAUUACAGCUCACCGGUAAUGCUCUUCAGGUCUUCCUUGCGUAGAUUUUGAUGCUAGAUACGGUGGUCUUGAGUCAUGCUUUUGAAUCCAUAUUCUAAUCACAUUUGUGGGCAAUGGGGAUCAUCUUCGAAAUAUCUGCACUUAAGCUGCGGAUGUUUGCAAUUCGUGUUCAAUGUGACUACCUUUAUGCAAGGGGCGUCACUUAGGCUGAUCUUUUUUUUAUGGUGGGAGUAAGGUGAAUGUGAGUGUAAGGGGUGUUACUUAGAUCUUUUGUAUGGUUCGCAGAACUUCAAGAGGAAAAUAUUGUAGUUCUUCGAAGAGUUUAUAACAUUGAAGAGUUUGGAAUUGAACUUUCAAUCUGACAUUAUUGGUUGCUGGGAAGGUCUUUCUGUAUCUAGCAAUCAGUUGCAGGU